UACGGAGGGUGCAAGCGUUAAUCGGAAUUACUGGGCGUAAAGCGCGCGUAGGCGGCUUGAUCAGUCGGGUGUGAAAGCCCCGGGCUUAACCUGGGAACUGAAUUCGAUACUGUCAAGCUAGAGUAUGAAAGAGGGAGGUAGAAUUCCAUGUGUAGCGGUGAAAUGCGUAGAUAUGUGGAGGAAUACCAGUGGCGAAGGCGGCCUCCUGGUUCAAUACUGACGCUGAGGUGCGAAAGCGUGGGGAGCAAACAGG
rnacentral:rRNA from 1 species